UCGGGUAGAAUUUCUUUCUUUGAGAAAGCUGAGGCGAUCAAAACCCUGAUUAACCUCUGAUAUUCACGUGGUGCUCUUGAUCUUGAGGACCGAAGCAGUAACAAAGAGUUAAUGGCAGCCAUAUGCUCACGGUUUGGCGUGGAGAUUACUGAUGAAGAGUUUGAGCUGCUACUUGACAGAAUCCCCCUUGAUGAAGAUGGAAGUGUCAGAUACCCCCAGUUCAUGGCCAGGUUUGAUUCCUGAUUGCUUCAGCUGUCAUGUCCAAGUAAAUUCUGAAGUCAAGAGAAGCCAACGUCCCUAAAAGAAGCAACAUUCAUCUUACUACAGCCUAUGCCAGAUUUCAGAGACUGUGACCAAAGGCAGAGUGACAAAGAUGCAGGAUGAAUGUCAACCUUAAGUGUUGUAUUUGAGGAGCUAAGGUGAGAGGUCAGCUACAAGAGGGCCGUGUGGAAUUGUCCUAAUCCGAGAAGAGCCACUGCCUCCCUGUGUGAUCUGACAGACUGACAUAUCACUUGACCUCGGUCACGGCAGCUGUACACCGAGGUGGAAAAGGCGGCUGAUGGACAACCACGGGAUGCCUUUCAGCACAGCUUCCUCGGGGUAAACCACGGACAAACGCAUGGCUUGGCUUCUUUCUUACUCAUCCAUGAGUUUUAGAUCAAAUUCAGAUUUUGCAUAGCUUUUCUUGGAUUUUUUUCUUUAACACAGCGGAAGCGAGGGUGACGCAGUCACCUACCGCAGGUUCUCGGGGGCAGAGCGGCA